CCCCUUCACCUGGAAAUCAGAUCAACCUACUGAAAAAUCAUUCAACACAUAGACACCCUAAAAGUUAAAGUUAAUUGAAGAAUCAAAAUAGCGAAAAUGGGUUCUGAAUCUUCUGAUGCUGCCUAAUCUGUUGCAGAGAGAAUAAGCUGCCGUUGAAGGAGAGAAUGCUGGGAGGGUUUCAUAGGAUUCGAAUACGCUCAGAAGAUGUUGUUGACGGCAGUAGUGGUGGAGUCGUCGUGGAGAUAGUGUAGAUGAUUGUGGCAGUGGAGAUGGUUAUGCUGAAAAUGGUGAGGCUUUAGAGUGACUUUCUGUCAUCACUACCAUAGAAGCAGCGGGAGUGGUGGUGGUGCAGAUAACUGGGGGUAUCACUGGAUACCAUUUCGUCCCUGGAUAUAGACACAAUCCAAAUUAGAAACGAGAGGCGGAUGGAGCGGUUUCAAAUUGGAAGAACCAACGGCCCUGGGAAAGUUUGUACGACUACUACUCUUAAACUGAAGACAAAAUGCUCGUGAAAAAUCAUUGUCGGCAACAAGGAUAGUGCAUGUACAAUAUCAAGCUAUAAAUGGAGAAGAAAGUUGUAGGGACGCAAAACGAGAAAAUGAGGCAGAUGUUGAUGAUGAAAAUGCACAGUGGUGAAUGGUCAACAGAGAAUCGUGACAGUGCUUCUGAGGCUGGUGAACAUGUUCCAGGGAGAGUCUGCUGAUGGAAGGGAGUGUUCUCGGAAAAGGACCUUGAUUUUUGGCUAACGCUGAAGCUUGAUUCAUUUGGCAAAAAUUUAAGGGUCCAGGGUUUGGAGAUCGGGACUACGGGCUCGAUCAAGCUCAUGAUCCAAAAGAAUAGUAGAACUCUACUUGUCUUUUGUUAAAUACGUGCAGUAAGAACACUCUAAAUUUGCCAACUGGGGAUUAAUAACAAAUUUUCUUAAAGAUAUAUCCAAUGUUUUUUUUUUUUUGAAUAAAUACCCUUUGGUAAGCUUCUAUUUAUAGCUCUUAUACAAUUCUCAGUGACCUGUUCGAAUCAAGAAAGAGUCUAUAUAUAGCAUCCUCAAUCCCUAAGGU